GCGCAGCAGUCGCGAAACUUUACAAUGUGCGAAAGCACGAUAAGGGAACUCUGAGUGCCUCCUAAGGAGGCUGUUCAGGUGUCUAAAAGCACCUGAAGGAAGGGCUGGGUAAGACCGGUGCCAGCCGCCGCGGUAACACCGGCAGCCCAAGUGGUAGCCACGUUUAUUGGGUCUAAAGCGUCCGUAGCCGGCUGGGUAAGUUCCUUGGGAAAUUUGGCUGCUUAACAGUCAAGCUUUCAGGGAAUACUGCCCGGCUUGGGACCGGGAGAGGUCAGAGGUACUCCAGGGGUAGGGGUGAAAUCCAUUAAUCCUUGGGGGACCACCGGUAGCGAAGGCGUCUGACCAGACCGGGUCCGACGGUGAGGGACGAAGGCUA
rnacentral:rRNA from 1 species